GUGAAGCGGCGUGUGAGGGAAUAUCAGAGACGACGAGGAACUCCGCAGCGGCUCGAUGAGCUCCGGAUGCGUCCGAACCAGAAGUUCGACGGUCUCCAGCCUGAAACAGAGCAAAGUUGACGAUGCGUUUACUGCGUCGUGGUUUGUCGGAGUUGAAAUGAAUCGUCCCAGUUGGGAGAAAAAAAAAAAUUGUACCGCAGGCGAAGAAUCUAUGUAUAUGAAAAAAAAUACAUAUAUUCAUUAUCGACAGAUAACGGUGGGAAAAGAAAUACCACAUGGACUCGAGAAACGCGCUGACGGUCGUAUGUAAAAAAAAAAAAUCUGUCCACAGUCGUCCACUUUUCAUCAUAUGCUGUACUUUUCAGUUCAAGUUCUUUCUUAUUUUCUCAUUAUUUCUUUCUUCUACAAGUGAUGUCAAAUUCACGAAGAAUAAAAUAAUAUCGAUUAAUGUCAUAAUCGAUUAAAAAAGUUACAAAUGCAUCGCUCCAAAAAUCCGGAUAGUAUUUUACAAAGUUUAUAAAACCAUCCCAAAAAAUGAAAUUUGCCGUUUACUUUUGGCCCGAUGCAAUGAUAGUAAUAUAUGUGUAUGUGUUCCAAGAAUUCACGAACGGUGAAUUCCUCCCGUGCUCCAUUGUUAUAGCGAGCACAAUUCGCGCAGACGUAUAAAUUUAUUUGAUCAAAUUAUUAAGACUAAUUCAAUUUCCUCCAUUUAGUCUCUUGGGUUGAGUAGCUUUCCGCCUCGAAAAAUUUAUUCUCCGUUGCGGUAUAUAAUAUAUAAAGAGAGGUAGUAUACAAAGAAGCUAUACGUAAAUGUACGCUCGUGUUGCAUAGAAAAAUAGGCGUCAAGUUCGGUUAAUAAAACAUUUUAUGGCGCGACGUGUGUCUCUGCGGCACCGUGAAAUGUAAAGAAAGAUGAAUGAAAAGAAGUGAAAGAAGUUACACGGGGUAUAAUUAAGAGAAACGAAAUGCAUUGCGCGUGGCACGAAACUAAAAGUACCCGGUAAGUCUUUCACUUUUCCUCUUUCGUAUCUUAGAAAUAGAAAGAAGAUAAACUAGUUUAAUCUUAAAAUCAAUGUUUGUAAGAAGCAAUAACGUCGGUAUAUUUACCUGCCAUAUUGUGCGGCCAGAUCAAGAGCAGAUUCGCCACGACUGUUGCGAAUGCUGGGAUCACAGCCAUGCUGCAAUAACUGUGUCACAACUUCCGUGUGGCCAUAUUGGGCCGCGCAGUGAAGAGCAGUCUCAUUGUCCUUGGUCUGUAAAGUAGAAUAUAUAGAAUAGAAAGAUUAGAAAGAAGAUGUAAUUUUCAGAGCUGAAAAUUAUAUCCGUAUAAAGGAUUAAAUUUCGGGAUGAAAUUCUUCCUGCAAAUAAUAGGGAGAAAAAUCAAAGAUGAAAAUAAUGAAAAUGUGGAAAAAUGCCAAGUUCAAUUCACGUCUUCUUUUUUUUUUCCUCCCUCCGUCACAACGUACCGCUAGAUUAACGUUGGGCACCGACGGUCCCUGGCAAAGUAUGAGCCUGACGAUUUCCGCAUCCCCGGCCCAGGCGGCGAGAUGCAACGGUGACGAGCCCUUAGCGUCGACGACGUUGGUGGACGCCUCGUAUUGUAGUAGAAUUUUAACCACGUCCCUGAAACAGUCAAUUACACAAUGCGCGAUUUGCAUUUGACGUUGUGGGUAAAAGUUAACAUCCGCUGACGAAGCAGCGAGUGCUAUUCAAGAGAGCGAUAAACUGACCUGUGGCCGUUGAGAGCGGCGUGGUGGAGCGCGGAAUAACCGCUGGCAUCCUGAACGUUUGCACCGGGUCCCCGUCGAAGGCUGAAAAGAGAAUUUUCAUUCGUUGAGUGAGUAGGAUCGAAGAAAUGUUCUUGGCUUAGAUUACAGGAAAACCAAAGGACAAAAAUAGAGAGAUGGCACAGCGGAAGCGAAACUUCAAUCGACCCAAAUUCACAGCGCGAGUUACUUGAGCUGGUCAUCCUUAUUGCUGCUUGGAAUUAUUCCUCACGCUCUUCCGCAGAAUCAGAGUUCUCGCGUAGACGAGUGCGAAGUAGGUACGCGCGAGGAUUGAUUUCCGCAAUUAAGUAAUCGCCUCGUCGGUUCGUUCUGCUCGUAUGUAGGUAUACUACAACUAUCGCCAGCUGACAGCCACAUAAUACCGGUUUAAUUGUUCCAUACACACACGGAGAGACUUUUGGUAACAAUGUUUGCUGUAUCGGUUAUCCACAAUUACAAAAAAAUAUACGUAACGUCACGUAAGUGACGCGCACGAGUAAUUUCACGCCAUCGAUCUGGACUGAAAUGAUUACAUACCCACGACGAGAAGAACGUUUUUCUCCUUUUUUUUUAGCUUUACACCUCUCGAGUGAACUGAUUUACCCCGAUAACUGGAGCGUUUCACCGAGCAUUCAACGAUUUCAAACUUUUCGAAACUUUUUUUUUUUUUAUUUGAACCCAAUUACUAUGAUGUAAGGAUAAAAUUAUUUAUGCGACUAAAAAAUAUGUGUGUAUA